UCGCUCUUCAACGAGGAAUCCCUAGUAAGCACAAGUCAUCAGCUUGUGUUGAUUACGUCCCUGCCCUUUGUACACACCGCCCGUCGCUACUACCGAUUGAAUGGCUUAGUGAGACCCUCGGAUUGGUAUUCAGAAGCUUUAACCGGCAUCUGUUUGCUGAGAAGUUGGUCAAACUUGGUCAUUUAGAGGAAGUAAAAGUCGUAACAAGGUUUCCGUAGGUGAACCUGCGGAAGGAUCAUUAAUGAUUUUAAAGCGAGUCGAAGCGUUAAGCGAGGCUUGCGAAAAUAUUUAAAACCCCACUCUUUAUAACUUUAAAAAAUAAAUCAUGAUACAUGAAUUUAAAAAAAAGAUCACUUUCAACAACGGAUCUCUUGGCUCUCGCAUCGAUGAAGAACGCAGCGAAAUGCGAUAAGUAGUGUGAAUUGCAUAAUUUUGUGAAUCAUCGAAUCUUUGAACGCAAAUUGCACUCCCUGGUAUUCCGGGGAGUAUGCCUGUUUGAGGGUCGUUAGAAUAAAAAUCGAGGCGUCGCUCUUUUUUUUAAGGGUGAUCGCGUCGGAAUUGAGCCGUCUUUCAAAUGUUAAUUCAUGUCAAAGUGGCUUAAAAUUCAUCCAUCCGGUACGGUUUAAAGCGUAUUUAAGAUCAAUUUUGAUUAAGAACGCGCGAUGACGUACCAUCUCAUGUAGUACGUUGACCUGGGUCGUCAGGUUCACUCGUAUACUAAACUCGAACUUUUGACCUCAAAUCAGGUAAGAAUACCCGCUGAACUUAAGCAUAUCAAUAAGCGGAGGAAAAGAAAAUAACAAUGAUUCCCUCAGUAACGGCGAGCGAAGAGGGAUAAGCUCAAAUUUUAAAUCUGUUGGGUUCCACUUAACAGAGUUGUAUUUUGAAGAAACGUUUUCUGCAUCCAGGAUUAGCCUAAAUCCUUUGGGAUAAGGUAUCAUGGAGGGUGAGAAUCCCGUUCAUGGUUAAUCUUAAGGAAGCUCUACGAUACGUUUUCCAGAGUCGAGUUGUUUGGGAUUGCAGCUCAAAAUGAAGUAAAUUUCUCUAGCUAAAUAUGCGAGAGACGAUAGCGACAGUACGUGAGAAGAUGAAAGAACUUGAAAGAGAGUAACAGUACGUGCAUUGUUGAAUGGAACGAUGAGUCAGUCAUACACGAGUCACCCUUGGUUGGUCCUCGGUGGAAUGUCAUAAAAUGACUGGAGGAAUGUAGCUUCGAUCUCGUAUUGAAGUGUUAUAGCCUUUGGUAGAUGUGAUGUUUGAGACCGAGGAUUGCAACGGAUACCCUUUAGGGCUAUUCGUCUGAUCUCUGAUACGUUGCCUUGAUGUUGAAAGCUUGCUUAUGAUGUUAGGGUAUUACGGUCAAAAGGUUAGAACGGAUUAGAUUCGUUAAGGAUGUUGACGUAAUGACUUUAAACGACCCGUCUUGAAACACGGACCAAGGAGUCUAACAUAUAUGCGAGUGUUC
rnacentral:rRNA from 1 species